ACAAACUUGGUCAUUUAGAGGAAGUAAAAGUCGUAACAAGGUCUCCGUUGGUGAACCAGCGGAGGGAUCAUUACUGAGUCACGUGCUCAAACAACCCUUCUGUGGACCUAAAUCAAACCGUUGCCUCGGCGGGCGGUCCCCUGCCAAAACCCAUGUGGUGUGGGGCAGGGGACCAGACAGUCCGGCACGCUUAAGGCGUCCGGCGCCAGCCGCUGGCCCUAAACAAUUAAACUCUAGUAACCUUACCUUCUGAGUUUUAAUACAAAAAAAUAAGUCAAAACUUUCAACAACGGAUCUCUUGGCUCUGGCAUCGAUGAAGAACGCAGC
rnacentral:misc_RNA from 1 species